ACAGGACGAACGCUGGCGGCGUGCCUAACACAUGCAAGUCGAGCGAGGAGAUCCUUCGGGAUGAUCCUAGCGGCGGACGGGUGAGUAACACGUGGGCAACCUGCCUCAUAGAGAGGAAUAGCCUUCCGAAAGGGAGAUUAAUACCUCAUAACAUUGCAGUUUCGCAUGGAACAGCAAUUAAAGGAGUAAUCCGCUAUGAGAUGGGCCCGCGGCGCAUUAGCUAGUUGGUGAGUAACGGCUCACCAAGGCGACGAUGCGUAGCCGACCUGAGAGGGUGAUCGGCCACAUUGGGACUGAGACACGGCCCAGACUCCUACGGGAGGCAGCAGUGGGGAAUAUUGCACAAUGGGGGAAACCCUGAUGCAGCCAACGCCGCGUGAGUGAUGACGGCCUUCGGGUUGUAAAGCUCUGUCUUCAGGGACGAUAAUGACGGUACCUGAGGAGGAAGCCACGGCUAACUACGUGCCAGCAGCUGC
rnacentral:rRNA from 1 species